GAUGAACGCUAGCGGCAGGCUUAACACAUGCAAGUCGAGGGGUAGAAGGAGCUUGCUCCUUUGAGACCGGCGCACGGGUGCGUAACGCGUAUGCAAUCUACCUUUUGCAGAGGGAUAGCCCAGAGAAAUUUGGAUUAAUACCUCAUAGUAUGUGAGGAUGGCAUCAUUUUCACAUUAAAGUCACAACGGCAAAGAUGAGCAUGCGUCCCAUUAGCUAGUUGGUAAGGUAACGGCUUACCAAGGCUACGAUGGGUAGGGGUCCUGAGAGGGAGAUCCCCCACACUGGUACUGAGACACGGACCAGACUCCUACGGGAGGCAGCAGUGAGGAAUAUUGGACAAUGGGCGCAAGCCUGAUCCAGCCAUGCCGCGUGCAGGAUGACGGUCCUAUGGAUUGUAAACUGCUUUUGUACAGGAAGAAACCCUCCCACGUGUGGAGCUUGACGGUACUGUAGGAAUAAGGAUCGGCUAACUCCGUGCCAG
rnacentral:rRNA from 1 species